rnacentral:rRNA from 1 species
CACGGUAAACGAUGGAUGCCCGCUGUUGGCGAUAUACUGUCAGCGGCCAAGCGAAAGCGUUAAGCAUCCCACCUGGGGAGUACGCCGGCAACGGUGAAACUCAAAGGAAUUGACGGGGGCCCGCACAAGCGGAGGAACAUGUGGUUUAAUUCGAUGAUACGCGAGGAACCUUACCCGGGCUUGAACUGCAGGCGAACGAUUCAGAGAUGAUGAGGCCCUUCGGGGCGCCUGUGGAGGUGCUGCAUGGUUGUCGUCAGCUCGUGCCGUGAGGUGUCGGCUUAAGUGCCAUAACGAGCGCAACCCCUUUCUCCAGUUGCCAUCAGGUUAAGCUGGGCACUCUGGAGACACUGCCACCGUAAGGUGUGAGGAAGGUGGGGAUGACGUCAAAUCAGCACGGCCCUUACGUCCGGGGCUACACACGUGUUACAAUGGGUGGUACAGAGAGUCGGUCGCUGGCAAUAGCGAUCCAAUCCUAAAAGCCAUCCUCAGUUCGGAUUGGGGUCUGCAACCCGACC